CAUAAUAGCCUUGUUCAAAUAAAAUCACAAGACCUUUGUAAGCUUGCUUAGUUACUAUGGAGAAGGGCCUUCUUCCAAGGAGCUGUAGAUUUUGAAUGUGCUCCUGGUUGGACACUUUUUCCACUAUAUGUACAGAAUAGGGGUAGGGAAGAGCGCAACUUAGGUUUUGGGGCAGGCCUCACUAGCAAUUAUGGCAUCCUCUUAUUUGGUUGCAGGUUACUUGCCUUCUUCUUUCAGCCCAUCUCAAGAAUUAUAGUGCAGUUUUUGUGGAGAGCCCAUGUUGGUUUGCUUGAUUUAUGUUCAAAAUGGACAAUACAAUGCUAUUUGAGUCAAGUUUGUAUAUAUUCCAAGUACUCCUUUAUUAUUUAUCAACUGAGGCAUGAUUGUUGUUGCACUUAUUACUAAAAAUAAUCCUGGUGUUAUUUUCUUUGAGAAAAGAAAUAGACGGCUCAGAUGUGUGCUUCUUAGCAUCACAUCAAAUUGAAUAAUCGAAUAGGGUUAUAUAUCAUCAUAUCUGCAUACAUAGUAUCUUCUGUAAUUAUAUACCGGUGUAGGCUCUUGUUGUUAGAUGAUGAACUUAUGUUAUUUUAUGCCAAGUAGUUAAAUUUAUGUGCACCUUCUCAUGUGUUUACUUGUUUAUGCUUUUAUAGUAUGGCUUGGUCCUGUUGUGAAAAAGAUCCUGAUAUGUUUGACUAUUCUGUUUUUUUUCUUUAUCCAAUGACCUAUUAAUGUGCUUUGAGCAUAUGACAAUUGUUUCCUCACUAUCUUAGAUUAGUAGUAAUCCUUCUUUUAUGUUUCUGCAAUUUCAGUUCCUGCCUUUUGAAAUUUCCUUUGCAUUAUGUAUCUGCACACCCCCUCUUGUGGUCUAUUGUAAUGGUCUACUGAACAGCCAUAUCAUGCUAUGAUUGCAUCGUUGCAUGACAAUGUACCAUAUGCUCAUGCAUUUCUUUUCUUACCGAUGUUGUCCUGAUGAGUUGGCUGGCUUACAUGUGCGCCCUCCGUCCUAAAAUAAGUGUCUCAACUCUGUUACAAAGUUGUACUAGAGUUGAGACACUUAUUUUGGGGCGAAGGGAGUAGUCUGCUGUGAAGGUCUACUUGUGUUAGGUAGCAUUGCUUUCUGGAAUACGUCAUUCGAACCUGGUAACAUUCACUGGUUACAGUCAGCAAGACAGGAAGAACAUACUUGUGUAUGAGUUCAUGCACAACGAAAGGACCAACUUAGCUGAUGGUGUUAUUAAUAUGGUGAGUGAUUGAAGGGGAGGCAUGAGAAGAGAGCAGUCCAAAGGGCGGAUGGAGCAUGUAACUUGUUGAUGUUAGUUUCCAUUUCCGGAAAGAACAAAUUUUCUAUGAUUUGAGUGUAUGCUGAUGUGUCAAAGUCAAUCAUUUGGAUUC